GCUCAUUGGCUUGGCGAAAGAAGCCGUUUUUCAGAAGUUUGGCGUGGAACUCAGAGAAGAAAUCUUGUAUAUUCAUCCACACUACAGGUGCUACAACCAUGAAGGUGUAAAAGGGAAGAACAGCUGCUGUUCCUAAUGUGAAAGCCCCAUUAGCUAUCUGUGAACAUGGCAUCCCUGCACAAACUAUCAUCCCUCAUUUACACAUUCUAGUAUGUGUGUUUCUGUGUGUGUGUGUGUGUGAGAGAGAGAGAGAGAGAGAGAGAGAGAGAGAGUAUAUGAAGCAUAUACUGGAGAGAUUUUUCUGAAGAGAGUAUCUUUAACAAGAUUUGGUCUAGUGAUGAAGAUGGUUCUUGAUUUUC